rnacentral:tRNA from 1 species
UCCGGGAUAGCUCAGCGGUAGAGCGAUCGCCUGUUAAGCGAUUGGUCGCAGGUUCGAUCCCUGCUCCCGGAG